UACGAAGGGGGCUAGCGUUGCUCGGAAUCACUGGGCGUAAAGGGUGCGUAGGCGGGUCUUAAGUCAGGGGUGAAAUCCUGGAGCUCAACUCCAGAACUCGCCUUUGAUACUGAAGAUCUUGAGUGCGGGAGAGGUGAGUGGAACUGCGAGUGUAGAGGUGAAAUUCGUAGAUAUUCGCAAGAACACCAGUGGCGAAGGCGGCUCACUGGCCCGAUACUGACGCUGAGGCACGAAAGCGUGGGGAGCAAACAGGA
rnacentral:rRNA from 1 species